UGAAGAUCCUGGGAAUUAUAAUGCUCUAUAGUACGAUCAUCCUCCUUGAGUGCUGGUUCAGAUUCUUCAAAAAACCAAAGAUGGAAACACAAGAACCAACCUAUGUCAACAGUGAGAUGGCGGCUAAGGCAUCAUGAGCCACAAGAAGAUCAGGAAGAUGUCAAGGCUUCUGUCAGUGGGAGGAUUUCUUAUUUUUGACCAUUCAUCUAUCUUUUCUUUUCUUUGUCCAAUUGUUGAAGUUCAGGGUCUGAAGAGGCUGCUUCCUGUCUGCAAAGGACAACAGGUUAAAGGUUGAAUACACCCUGGAUAGGUUACCAGUCCAUCACAUCACCAUACAUCUUGAAACUUGUUUCUGCAUUUACAUGUGUAUUCAUGGAGUAAAUCGUAGCACUUAUAAAUGAGGCCUAAAAAUGCUCAAAAUAAAAAGGUUUUUGAAGUGAAGCAGAAAUUUAGCUGAAUGUAAAAUAUUUCUCUCUGAACGGUAGAAGGUGAUCAGUUUUAAGUGCCAGCUUUGUACUUAUUAUUGCUACUAAUAAGUGUCAUUUUUAUUGGAUUUUAAAAAUGUACACUAGAUAUUUCAGCUGACAGCAAAAGGCAUAAAAUGUAAAGCAUAAAUGUUUACCAGUCUUG